AUGUCGUCCGCCGCGCCGGCGCCGGCGCCGGAGGAGCAGCGGCCGCGCCCGGUGCGCUUCGGCAUCAUGGGCUGCGCGUCCAUCGCGCGCAAGCUCGCGCGGGCGAUGCUGCUGGCCGCGCCCGCGGCCGCCGUGGCCGCCGUCGGCAGCCGCUCCGAGGCCAAGGCGCGCCUCUUCGCCGCCGACAACGGCCUCCCCGCGGGCGCGCGCCUGCACGGCUCCUACGAGGCGCUCCUCGACGACCCGGCCGUCGACGCCGUCUACCUGCCGCUCCCCACCAGCCUCCACGUGCAGUGGGCCACCGCCGCCGCCGCGCGGGGCAAGCACGUGCUCCUCGAGAAGCCCACCGCGCUCUGCGCCGCCGACCUCGACGCCAUCCUCGCCGCCUGCGACGCCAGCGGCGUCCAGUUCAUGGACUCCACCAUGUGGAUGCACCACCCCCGCACCGCCAAGAUGCGCGACCUCCUCCCCGCCGACGUCGGCGACGUCAGAGUUAUAAACAGUCUGUUCAGCUUCCGAGCAAACGAAGAUUUCCUCCAGAAUGACAUCAGGGUGAAGCCAGACCUCGACGCGCUGGGCGUACUCGGCGAUGCCGGGUGGUACUGCAUCCGCGCGAUCCUGUGGGCCGUCAACUACGAGCUCCCGAAGAACGUGAUCGCGCUCCCCGACCCUGUCAAGAACCAAGCCGGCGUGCUCAUCGCCUGCGGCGCGACGCUCUACUGGGCCGACGGAAAGACGGCCACCUUCCACUGCUCGUUCCUCGCCAACCUCACCAUGGACCUGACCGUCGUCGGCACCGACGGCACGCUCCACGUCACCGACUUCAUCAUCCCGUACGAGGAGAAGUCCGGCCCGUUCAGCGUGGCGUCCAGGUCGAACUUCGCCGAGCUCCACACCGGGUGGGUUCCGCAGCCCAGCAGGCACGUCGUCACGACUGACCUGCCGCAGGAGGCCCUGAUGGUCCAGGAGUUCUGCAGGCUGGUGCAGGGCAUCAGAGACGCCGGCGCCAAGCCUGAGGGCAAGUGGCCGGCCAUCACCAGGAAGACGCAGGUUGUGAUGGACGCGGUGAAGGCUUCCAUUGACAAGGGAUUUGAGUCUGUCGAUGUUGUGAGCUAA
rnacentral:rRNA from 1 species